rnacentral:rRNA from 1 species
AUUGAACGCUGGCGGCAGGCCUAACACAUGCAAGUCGAGCGGAGCGGCGGACGGGUGAGUAAUGCCUAGGAAUCUGCCUGGUAGUGGGUGAUAACGUCCGGAAACGGGCGCUAAUACCGCAUACUCUCAGUUGAGCCUAGGUCGGCUUCGCUAGUGGGGGGGGUAAAGGCCUACAAAGGCUACGAUCCGUAACUGGGCUGAGCGGAUGAUCAGUCACACUGGAACUGAGACACGGUCCAGACUCCUACGGGAGGAAGCAGUGGGGAAUAGUGGACAAUGGGCGAAAGCCUGAUCCAGCCAUGCCGCGUGUGUGAAGAAGGUCUUCGGAUUGUAAAGCACUUUAAGUUGGGAGGCGUUACCAACAGAAUAAGCACCGGCUAACUUCGUGCCAGCAGCCGCGGUAAUAC